AUGAACGCUAGCGGAACGCCUAACACAUGCAAGUCGAACGCUUUGUAGCAAUACAAAGAGUGGCAAACGAGCGAGUAACGCGUACUUAAUCUGCCCAAAAGUUGAGAACAACUAUAGAGAUGUAGCUAAUUCUCAAUAUGCUCACGAUGGUGAAAAUCCGAUGUGAGGAAAGAUUUAUCGCUUUUGGAGGAGGGUGCGUCCUAUCAUGGUAGUUGGUGAGGUAAUAGCUUACCAAGCCUUUGACGGGUAGCCGGUCUGAGAUGAUGUCCGGCCGCGAUGGAACUGAGAUACGGUCCAUACUCCUACGGGAGGCAGCAGUGGGGAAUCUUGCACAAUGGGCGAAAGCCUGAUGCAGCGAUUCCGCGUGGAGGAUGACGCAUUACGGUGUGUAAACUCCUUUUUUGGUGGAAGACGAAUGACGGUACACCAAGAAUAAGGGACGGCUAACUACGU
rnacentral:rRNA from 1 species